rnacentral:rRNA from 1 species
GACGAACGCUGGCGGCGUGCUUAACACAUGCAAGUCGAACGGAAAGGCCCUGCUUUUGUGGGGUUCUCGAGUGGCGAACGCGUGAGUAACACGUGAGUAACCUGCCCUUGACUUUGGGAUAACUUCAGGAAACUGGGGCUAAUACCGGAUAGGAUCUCCUGCUGCAUGGUGGGGGUUGGAAAGUUUCGGCGGUUGGGGAUGGACUCGCGGCUUAUGAGCUUGUUGGUGGGGUAGUGGCUUACCAAGGCUUUGACGGGUAGCCGGCCUGAGAGGGUGACCGGCCACAUUGGGACUGCGAUACGCAGCAGUAGGCUACGGGCGGCAGUAGUGGGGAAUAUUGCACAGUGGGCGGACGCGUGAUGCAGAAGCGCCGGGUGCGGGAUGCCGGCUUUCGGGUUGUAAACCGCUUUCGCAUGUGACGAAGCGUGAGUGACGGUAAUGGGUAAAGAAGCACCGGCUAACUACGUG